rnacentral:lncRNA from 1 species
GGGGAGAUGCGGAAGCUGAUGCUAAGCCUUGCGGGGUUCCGAUCAGCAUUUGAGGUAAUGAGUGCCUAUCGGGACGUCGUGACGGUUGUCACGGGCCCGAUGGGAGUUUCGGGUCGUGACAUUUGUCAACCCUAGGUAUAAAUAUCCUUACUUUCCAGCACCUUCUCCAUUCUUCCUCUCAUUUCUUCUCUCCAUUGCAGAUUUUUCAUCUUCCAUGGAGGCCAUCCUUGAAACCUCUAUAACUUUCUCAUAUUAACUCCAAAUUUCAUGUUUUUGUACACUUUUUCAUAGGAUUUUUCAUGCUCUUUUUCUUUUUCACCUUAAAAACCCUCAAAAAGAUUUUCCUCUACACUCUCUCUCACUAGCUGAACGUUUAUAAAGCGAGAAAUUUUUCAAAAUAGCUUGAAAACUCUUAAAGGAAUUUUUCCCCUUUUUAAUCCUCACUAAGGAAAUUCAACUACAAGUCCACCAAGGUGAGUAAUGAGUUAUGGUUGAUUUUUAAGUUGUUAAUGAUGGCUAAUAAUCAGAUUUAUGGGCUAUUUUAUUAUUGAUGGUUAUAUUAUGGUGAAAAUGAGAUUAUUUAUUACUAGUGUGAUUAGAAUAGUACAAAUAAAUGACUAGCUAAUGACUUGAAUGUUAGCCUUGUAAAUUUACAAGUAAAUUAAUACUUGGAAUGGGAAUUAGGGGCAGUUUCGAUCGAUCGAGACUAUUGGAGGGAGAAAUGAUUAAUAAUUAUGGUACUUCAUGGUUUAACUAGUGGUAUGGAUGACUAGUUUAAUAAAGGGCAUUGUGUUGGUGUGAGAUGUCACUAAGGGAAUUAAUUAAGUUUGGAAUUAUGAAUUUUAAGGAUGAAAUAGGUGCUGGAAAAUGGAAGUAAUAAAAGAAGUGUUAUGAAAUUUGUUGGAGUUAGUACUAGGUUGACUAGUCAAAUGGUAAUUGACAAACUAGUUAGGAAAAACUAGUAAAGUUGAUUUAGGAAAUAACCUUUGGAUUUAUAUUCAUGCAAAUUGGGUUGGUUGUGAUGCCAUUGUGUGUGAUAGGUUCCAACGAGACCCCACAUCUCCACUUGGAGCAUUAGUUGAAGUUGGACUUGAUAAAAAAAAAUAGGUAAGUGAACUUGCAUUUAAAAUGUUUUGAACAAAUGCAUAUGUGUUGAAUGAAGUACUUGAAUAUCUUUGGUUGACUCUUUUAAAGAAAAUUAUGCAUUGGAACAAGCCUUUCAC